AUUGAACGCUGGCGGCAGGCCUAACACAUGCAAGUCGAGCGGAUGAAGGGAGCUUGCUCCUGGAUUCAGCGGCGGACGGGUGAGUAAUGCCUAGGAAUCUGCCUGGUAGUGGGGGAUAACGUCCGGAAACGGGCGCUAAUACCGCAUACGUCCUGAGGGAGAAAGUGGGGGAUCUUCGGACCUCACGCUAUCAGAUGAGCCUAGGUCGGAUUAGCUAGUUGGUGGGGUAAAGGCCUACCAAGGCGACGAUCCGUAACUGGUCUGAGAGGAUGAUCAGUCACACUGGAACUGAGACACGGUCCAGACUCCUACGGGAGGCAGCAGUGGGGAAUAUUGGACAAUGGGCGAAAGCCUGAUCCAGCCAUGCCGCGUGUGUGAAGAAGGUCUUCGGAUUGUAAAGCACUUUAAGCUGGGAGGAAGGGCAGUAAGUUAAUACCUUGCUGUUCUGACGUUACCAACAGAAUAAGCACCGGCUAACUUCGUG
rnacentral:rRNA from 1 species